GUCAGGAUGGCCGAGCGCUCUAAGGCGCUGCGUUAAGGUCACAGUCACUCCAUGAGGUGUGGGUUCGAAUCCCACUUCUGACA
rnacentral:tRNA from 1 species